rnacentral:rRNA from 1 species
GGAAAUUGCUAUUAGAUGAGCCUAUAUUAGAUUAGCUAGUUGGUGGAGUAAUAGCCUACCAAGGCAAUGAUCUAUAGCUGAUCUGAGAGGAUGAUCAGCCACACUGGAACUGAGAUACGGUCCAGACUCCUACGGGAGGCAGCAGUGGGGAAUAUUGGACAAUGGGCGAAAGCCUGAUCCAGCCAUGCCGCAUGAGUGAAGAAGGCCUUUGGGUUGUAAAGCUCUUUUAGUGAGGAAGAUAAUGACGGUACUCACAGAAGAAGUCCUGGCUAACUCCGUGCCAGCAGCCGCGGUAAUACGGAGAGGGCUAGCGUUAUUCGGAAUUAUUGGGCGUAAAGGGCGCGUAGGCUGAUUAAUAAGUUAAAAGUGAAAUCCCGAGGCUUAACCUUGGAAUUGCUUUUAAAACUAUUAAUCUAGAGAUUGAAAGAGGAUAGAGGAAUUCCUGAUGUAGAGGUAAAAUUCGUAAAUAUUAGGAGGAACACCAGUGGCGAAGGCGUCUAUCUGGUUCAAAUCUGACGCUGAAGCGCGAAGGCGUGGGGAGCAAACAGGAUUAGAUACCCUGGUAGUCCACGCUGUAAACGAUGAAUGUUAAAUAUGGGAAGUUUACUUUCUGUAUUACACUA